rnacentral:rRNA from 1 species
UACAGAGGGCGCAAGCGUUAAUCGGAAUUACUGGGCGUAAAGCGUGCGUAGACGGUUAUGUAAGUCGGGUGUGAAAGCCCCGGGCUCAACCUGGGAAUUGCAUUCGAGACUGCAUAGCUAGGGUGCGGAAGAGGGAAGCGGAAUUUCCGGUGUAGCGGUGAAAUGCGUAGAUAUCGGAAGGAACACCAGUGGCGAAAGCGGCUUCCUGGUCCAGCACCGACGUUCAGGCACGAAAGCGUGGGGAGCAAACGGG